rnacentral:lncRNA from 1 species
GGCAGAAUGAAAUCACUCCUUCCACGCGAGAGAGAGAGAGAGAGAGAGACCCACUCACUCCCCUCCCGACAUCAUAAAUAAAUAAUCCGCCCAUUCACCAAUUUCUCCUCACAAACCCACCACCAACCAACAAAACCAAAACCUCACCACUUCUUCUGCCUUCAUCUCUCUCUCUCUCUCUCUCUCUGUGAAACAUAAAGAGAACCAAUAAUUUGCCAAUGUCACGUGAGUCUCGUCACCGCCGGCAGCCCUCGCAGGUCCUCCCGCCGGAGUUCAUAGCCGGCGACGACCUCCAUGACUUGGCCCAAGGCACCAUACUUGCUGCUGGCACUGCAACAACUACUACAACUGAGAGCUCAAAAAACUCACCUCCAAAAGCCCAUGGGCAAGAAUCUUCCACUCACUCUCCUGCGCCCAACAAGAAGCCCCCCACCCCGAGACCUUCUGGAACUUGAAUGGUUCCUGUUUUUUUUUUCUGUUCUUGUUUUUUUUCUCGUCUUUGUUGUUAAUUUCUUUUCAGUGCUUAGUUUAGUGAUGCUGUUUAACUAAGUGUAUUUUGAUGCUAUGAAGCAUGCUGUCUCUCUUUUUUCUUUUAGGUUAUUUAUAAUAUAACUUCAUGCCAAUGUUGUGUCCAAAUGUUGUUGUAAUGUGUACAACGUUUUCUGCAUUCCCUUUCAGAGGCAAUAAUGGAUUGGUAUUUGGAAUAAUUCGCAUGGUAGUCUAGUUUGUUCUUGGAAG